GAAUCGUUCAAGAAGAUGAUCGUCGGCGAUGGAUGUAUGCCGAAGGUUACUCCACCACCACGGCCUGAGCCACGAUUCCCAGACCCGCGCGACAUUUGUCCCAGCCUCGCAGUGCCUCUCCUCCUCCAAGGCCGACCUCACAGGCCUGCAUCGGGACCUCCAAACCGCCGGUUCUAGAAACUGAGGAAACGCAAUCAAAUUAAUUCGUCCGAGUGUCAAAGGCGAGCUUUAAAGUUAAGGUAAAUUAUUGUUUCCAGGGAACUGCUCGGAGCACAAAGUGCUCUGGAAGUUCUUCAUUAUAAUUUAUCUCUUCCAUCUCAUGUUUGA